rnacentral:rRNA from 1 species
UAGGGAAUCUUCGGCAAUGGACGAAAGUCUGACCGAGCAACGCCGCGUGAGUGAAGAAGGUUUUCGGAUCGUAAAACUCUGUUGUUAGAGAAGAACAAGGACGUUAGUAACUGAACGUCCCCUGACGGUAUCUAACCAGAAAGCCACGGCUAACUACGUGCCAGCAGCCGCGGUAAUACGUAGGUGGCAAGCGUUGUCCGGAUUUAUUGGGCGUAAAGCGAGCGCAGGCGGUUUCUUAAGUCUGAUGUGAAAGCCCCCGGCUCAACCGGGGAGGGUCAUUGGAAACUGGGAGACUUGAGUGCAGACGAGGAGAGUGGAAUUCCAUGUGUAGCGGUGAAAUGCGUAGAUAUAUGGAGGAACACCAGUGGCGAAGGCGGCUCUCUGGUCUGUCACUGACGCUGAGGCUCGAAAGCGUGGGGAGCAAACAGG